GACGAACGCUGGCGGCGUGCUUAACACAUGCAAGUCGAACGGAAAGGCCCUGCUUUUGUGGGGUGCUCGAGUGGCGAACGGGUGAGUAACACGUGAGUAACCUGCCCUUGACUUUGGGAUAACUUCAGGAAACUGGGGCUAAUACCGGAUAGGAGCUCCUGCUGCAUGGUGGGGGUUGGAAAGUUUCGGCGGUUGGGGAUGGACUCGCGGCUUAUCAGCUUGUUGGUGGGGUAGUGGCUUACCAAGGCUUUGACGGGUAGCCGGCCUGAGAGGGUGACCGGCCACAUUGGGACUGAGAUACGGCCCAGACUCCUACGGGAGGCAGCAGUGGGGAAUAUUGCACAAUGGGCGGAAGCCUGAUGCAGCAACGCCGCGUGCGGGAUGACGGCCUUCGGGUUGUAAACCGCUUUCGCCUGUGACGAAGCGUGAGUGACGGUAAUGGGUAAAGAAGCACCGGCUAACUACGUGCCAGCAGCCGCGGUGAUACGUAGGGUGCGAGCGUUGUCCGGAUUUAUUGGGCGUAAAGGGCUCGUAGGUGGUUGAUCGCGUCGGAAGUGUAAUCUUGGGGCUUAACCCUGAGCGUGCUUUCGAUACGGGUUGACUUGAGGAAGGUAGGGGAGAAUGGAAUUCCUGGUGGAGCGGUGGAAUGCGCAGAUAUCAGGAGGAACACCAGUGGCGAAGGCGGUUCUCUGGGCCUUUCCUGACGCUGAGGAGCGAAAGCGUGGGGAGCGAACAGGCUUAGAUACCCUGGUAGUCCACGCUGUAAACGGUGGGUACUAGGUGUGGGGUCCAUUCCACGGGUUCCGUGCCGUAGCUAACGCUUUAAGUACCCCGCCUGGGGAGUACGGCCGCACGGCUAAAACUCAAAGGAAUUGACGGGGCCCCGCACAAGCGGCGGAGCAUGCGGAUUAAUUCGAUGCAACGCGUAGAACCUUACCUGGGUUUGACAUGGAUCGGGAGUGCUCAGAGAUGGGUGUGCCUCUUUUGGGGUCGGUUCACAGGUGGUGCAUGGCUGUCGUCAGCUCGUGUCGUGAGAUGUUGGGUUAAGUCCCGCAACGAGCGCAACCCUUGUUCACUGUUGCCAGCACGUUAUGGUGGGGACUCAGUGGAGACCGCCGGGGUCAACUCGGAGGAAGGUGGGGAUGACGUCAAGUCAUCAUGCCCCUUAUGUCCAGGGCUUCACGCAUGCUACAAUGGCUGGUACAGGGAGUGGCGAGCCUGUGAGGGUGAGCGAAUCUCGGAAAGCCGGUCUCAGUUCGGAUUGGGGUCUGCAACUCGACCUCAUGAAGUCGGAGUCGCUAGUAAUCGCAGAUCAGCAACGCUGCGGUGAAUACGUUCCCGGGGCU
rnacentral:rRNA from 1 species